rnacentral:tRNA from 1 species
AAAGAAUUAGUUAAAUAAAUAACAUUAGUAUGUCAAACUUAAAUUAUUAUCCUAAUAAUAUUCUUUU